rnacentral:rRNA from 1 species
CAUACCUAUUCGAAGGGAUAGGGUCGGUUUGGCCGGAUUUCACACGGGUGUUGCAUGGCUGUCGUCAGCUCGUGUCGUGAGAUGUUGGGUUAAGUCCCGCAACGAGCGCAACCCUCAUCCUUAGUUACCAUCAGGUUAUGCUGGGGACUUUAAGGAAACUGCCAGUGAUAAACUGGAGGAAGGUGGGGAUGAUGUCAAGUCAUCAUGGCCCUUAUGGAGUGGGCUACACACGUGCUACAAUGGUGAUUACAAUGGGCUGCAAGGUCGCAAGGCUGAGCUAAUCCUAAAAAAUCAUCUCAGUCCGGAUUGUUCUCUGCAACUCGAGAGCAUGAAGUUGGAAUCGCUAGUAAUCGUGGAUCAGCAUGCCACGGUGAAUACGUUCUCGGGCCUUGUACACACUGCCCGUCACGCCAUGGGAAUUGGUUUCACUCGAAGCU